CAAAAAGCAAGCAAUGGAAACACCGGGAUAUUGAUUAAUGGAUGAGAGAUUACAAAAUCUGAACUGCAAAUGCUUAAGUUGGCUGGAGUACAAUGUGCUGGGAAACCUCAUUUUUGGGUGAAUGCUGAUGGGACUUACUAAGAGGAAGGCCAAAAAACUGUUAAACGGAAAAUCUGGGAUAAGCCUAUAGUGAAGCUUCUUAGUCCUGUCCUGUCAUUGCCAACACCUAACAAAGCUGCUAAUCAAUGUGGAUUGACCCAUUCCUC